rnacentral:tRNA from 1 species
GCCCUCGUAGUUCAAUGGAUAGAACAGGACUCUUCUAAGGUCUUGAUGUAGGUCCGAUUCCUACCGAGGGCACCA